rnacentral:rRNA from 1 species
UUGACGGGACCGCACAAGCGGUGGAUGAUGUGGUUUAAUUCGAUGCAACGCGAAAACCUUACCCACCUUUGACAUGUACGGAAUCCUUUAGAGAUAGAGGAGUGCUCGAAAGAGAGCCGUAACACAGGUGCUGCAUGGCUGUCGUCAGCUCGUGUCGUGAGAUGUUGGGUUAAGUCCCGCAACGAGCGCAACCCUUGUCAUUAGUUGCUACAUUCAGUUGGGCACUCUAAUGAGACUGCCGGUGACAAACCGGAGGAAGGUGGGGAUGACGUCAAGUCCUCAUGGCCCUUAUAGGUGGGGCUACACACGUCAUACAAUGGAUGGUACAAAGGGUAGCCAACCCGCGAGGGGGAGCCAAUCCCACAAAGCCGGUCGUAGUCCGGAUCGCAGUCUGCAACUCGACUGCGUGAAGUCGGAAUCGCUAGUAAUCGCGGAUCAGCAUGUCGCGGUGAAUACGUUCCCGGGUCUU